rnacentral:rRNA from 1 species
AACGAACGCUGGCGGCAUGCCUAACACAUGCAAGUCGAACGCGUGUAGCAAUACACGAGUGGCGGACGGGUGAGUAACGCGUGGGAACCUGCCCAAUGGUAGGGAAUAACUGCGGGAAACUGCAGCUAAUACCCUAUGCUCCCUACGGGGGAAAGAUUUAUCGCCAUUGGAGGGGCCCGCGUCGGAUUAGCUAGUUGGCGGGGUAACGGCCCACCAAGGCUACGAUCCGUAGCUGGUCUGAGAGGAUGAUCAGCCACACUGGGACUGAGAUACGGCCCAGACUCCUACGGGAGGCAGCAGUGGGGAAUAUUGGACAAUGGGGGAAACCCUGAUCCAGCAAUGCCGCGUGAGUGAAGAAGGCCUUAGGGUUGUAAAGCUCUUUCGGCGGGACGAUGGUGACGGUACCCGCAGAAGAAGCCCCGGCUAACUUCGUGCCAGCAGCCGCCGUAACC